rnacentral:tRNA from 1 species
ACUGGUUUGGCUCAGUGGAUAGAGCAUUGACCUGUGGACUCAAAGGUCCGGGGUUCAAUUCCGGUCAAGUG